UUCGUGGUCGAGUGGUGAAGACACUUGGCAUUCACCCUGGAGUCCCGGGUCCAAGCCCCGGUUGAAAAG